CUUUACACUCUAGUGCAGAGUGAAAGCCACCAACAUGGGGACAGAAGCCCUCGGUCUGAUAUCCUCUGUGGCUCUUGGCACACUGAGACCCAGUGUGACACCCAGAGCAGAGAGACGCUCGUGUCCCAAGGGCUACCUUGAGCUUAUUUCUGUCUUAUUCUCAACCUUCUUCUGGGAGGAAUUCACACACACCUAUGACCCUCAUCAUCAGACAUGAGUCACUUAUAGACCUCUGGGCCCAAAUGCUUCUACAGAUAUAAAAACGUUAUGCAAGAGGCAAUCCAGCUAUCUGGAAACCUUGAAUACAGCAGGGUUCAGUCAAACUUCAUCAAAAUGAUCUAGUUUCCAUGACAUGAAGUCCAGAGGCUCUCUGGGGACUGAGGGUCUUGCCUUGCACUCUCCUCCAUCCUAUCCCAAGGCAAAGUGAAAGGCCUGAAGAACUGAAUUUCACCAUUCACCAGCACAGGGUCAGGACAGUGGCCCACUGAAGAAGAAAACUGACAGUGAUCUAAAUAGCCUGUCCCAGCAAAUUCUUGACCUUCUCAGACACCAGUGAAAAAAAUAGCAAAUCAUAUCAAUGCAGGUUUUGAUAAAUAGGGCAGAAAUGGUCUUGGCUAAGCAUAAGAAUGACAUGAAUCAGCAAUUGAAUUUGCUAAACACAAUGAAGCACAUAACUAGAAAUCACCAAUAGUAUAUUCAUUAUCCUGUUAAGCAUUCCUCAAAAUUCUUGGGCCUAUGUUUUAAGCAAAUCUUGCUUUCCCUUUCAUCCAGUCAGUACUAGCUCAUUUUUUGUUUGUUUGUUUUAUUCUUUUCUUCCCAUGGUAUGGAAAAACAGGAGAAAAUGCAGAGGGAUAUGAAUUUCUUCAUGUAAAUGAAGGAUAAAUUGGUAUAGGUAUACAGACAGCAUAAAUUUUUCCCCGUUCAAAAUAUAUGAGGAGUGAAUAUAAAAUAUGAUGUUUUAUUUCAAAAUAAUAAAGUAAGUAUAU